CCUGGCUCAGGAUGAACGCUAGCGACAGGCUUAACACAUGCAAGUCGAGGGGCAGCGGGGGUAGCAAUACCCGCCGGCGACCGGCGCACGGGUGAGUAACGCGUAUGCAACUUACCUAUCAGAGGGGGAUAACCCGGCGAAAGUCGGACUAAUACCGCAUGAAGCAGGGGCCCCGCAUGGGGAUAUUUGCUAAAGAUUCAUCGCUGAUAGAUAGGCAUGCGUUCCAUUAGGCAGUUGGCGGGGUAACGGCCCACCAAACCGACGAUGGAUAGGGGUUCUGAGAGGAAGGUCCCCCACAUUGGUACUGAGACACGGACCAAACUCCUACGGGAGGCAGCAGUGAGGAAUAUUGGUCAAUGGGCGUAAGCCUGAACCAGCCAAGUCGCGUGAGGGAUGAAGGUUCUAUGGAUCGUAAACCUCUUUUAUAAGGGAAUAAAGUGUAGGACGUGUCUAUUUUGUAUGUACCUUAUGAAUAAGGAUCGGCUAACUCCGUGCCAGCAGCCGCGGUAAUACGGAGGAUCCGAGCGUUAUCCGGAUUUAUUGGGUUUAAAGGGUGCGUAGGCGGCCUUUUAAGUCAGCGGUGAAAGUCUGUGGCUCAACCAUAGAAUUGCCGUUGAAACUGGGAGGCUUGAGUAUGUUUGAGGCAGGCGGAAUGCGUGGUGUAGCGGUGAAAUGCUUAGAUAUCACGCAGAACCCCGAUUGCGAAGGCAGCCUGCCAAGCCAUGACUGACGCUGAUGCACGAAAGCGUGGGGAUCAAACAGGAUUAGAUACCCUGGUAGUCCACGCAGUAAACGAUGAUCACUAGCUGUUUGCGAUACAGUGUAAGCGGCACAGCGAAAGCGUUAAGUGAUCCACCUGGGGAGUACGCCGGCAACGGUGAAACUCAAAGGAAUUGACGGGGGCCCGCACAAGCGGAGGAACAUGUGGUUUAAUUCGAUGAUACGCGAGGAACCUUACCCGGGUUUGAACGCAUUCGGACCGAGGUGGAAACACCUUUUCUAGCAAUAGCCGUUUGCGAGGUGCUGCAUGGUUGUCGUCAGCUCGUGCCGUGAGGUGUCGGCUUAAGUGCCAUAACGAGCGCAACCCUUGCCACUAGUUACUAACAGGUGAUGCUGAGGACUCUGGUGGGACUGCCAGCGUAAGCUGCGAGGAAGGCGGGGAUGACGUCAAAUCAGCACGGCCCUUACAUCCGGGGCGACACACGUGUUACAAUGGCGUGGACAAAGGGAGGCCACCUGGCGACAGGGAGCGAAUCCCCAAACCACGUCUCAGUUCGGAUCGGAGUCUGCAACCCGACUCCGUGAAGCUGGAUUCGCUAGUAAUCGCGCAUCAGCCAUGGCGCGGUGAAUACGUUCCCGAGCGUUGCACACACCG
rnacentral:rRNA from 1 species